GGGGUUGUGGCUCAGCAGUAGAGCGCUCUCCUAGCAAGUGCGAGGCCCUGGGUUCUAUCCUCAGCACCACCU
rnacentral:tRNA from 1 species